GAUGAACGCUGGCGGCGUGCCUAAUACAUGCAAGUCGAGCGAACGGACGAGAAGCUUGCUUCUCUGAUGUUAUCGGCGGACGGGGGAGUAACACGUGGAUACCCUACCUAUAAGACUGGGAUAACUUCGGGAAACCGGAGCUAAUACCGGAUAAUAUUUUGAACCGAAUGGUUCAAAAGUGAAAGACGGUCUUGCUGUCACUUAUAGAUGGAUCCGCGCUGCAUUAGCUAGUUGGUAAGGUAACGGCUUACCAAGGCAACGAUGCAUAGCCGACCUGAGAGGGUGAUCGGCCACACUGGAACUGAGACACGGUCCAGACUCCUACGGGAGGCAGCAGUAGGGAAUCUUCCGCAAUGGGCGAAAGCCUGACGGAGCAACGCCGCGUGAGUGAUGAAGGUCUUCGGAUCGUAAAACUCUGUUAUUAGGGAAGAACAUAUGUGUAAGUAACUGUGCACAUCUUGACGGUACCUAAUCAGAAAGCCACGGCUAACUACGUG
rnacentral:rRNA from 1 species